rnacentral:rRNA from 2 species
AGACCCGAAACCCGGUGAUCUAGCCAUGGGCAGGUUGAAGGUUGGGUAACACUAACUGGAGGACCGAACCGACUAAUGUUGAAAAAUUAGCGGAUGACCUGUGGCUGGGGGUGAAAGGCCAAUCAAACCGGGAGAUAGCUGGUUCUCCCCGAAAGCUAUUUAGGUAGCGCCUCGUGAAUUCAUCUCCGGGGGUAGAGCACUGUUUCGGCUAGGGGGCCAUCCCGGCUUACCAACCCGAUGCAAACUGCGAAUACCGGAGAAUGUUAUCACGGGAGACACACGGCGGGUGCUAACGUCCGUCGUGAAGAGGGAAACAACCCAGACCGCCAGCUAAGGUCCCAAAGUCAUGGUUAAGUGGGAAACGAUGUGGGAAGG